rnacentral:rRNA from 1 species
UACGGAGGGGGCUAGCGUUGUUCGGAAUUACUGGGCGUAAAGGGCGCGUAGGCGGCGAUUCAAGUCAGGCGUGAAAGGCCUGGGCUCAACCCGGGAACUGCGUUUGAUACUGGAUUGCUGGAGUCCGGGAGAGGAUGGCGGAAUUCCCAGUGUAGAGGUGAAAUUCGUAGAUAUUGGGAAGAACACCGGUGGCGAAGGCGGCUAUCUGGACGAUUUCUGACGCUAAGACGCGAAAGCGUGGGGAGCAAACAGG